AAGCCGGCGGUUAACAAGU
rnacentral:snRNA from 1 species